UCCCUGGUGGUCCAGUGGUUAGGAAGCUGUGCUUCUAAUGAAGGGGGCCUGGGUUUAAACCCUGGUUGGGGAA
rnacentral:tRNA from 1 species